UAUGUAGAUCAUAAAUCUAUGUAUCAUAAUAGAGGAUGCACUAUUUAACAGUAAAAACCCAUGAGCAAUAUGGGGUUGCAUAGAGUUAAUGAGCCAGGAUAUCAUAAGUAAGUUUUUGAAUUCCCAUUGAUUGUUGGUAGAACUGUAGUUUCUAAUUAUCUACAGUAAUAUACCCCUACAAUCCUCUAGCUUGGAUGAACAGCAAAUAAGAUUUGGACCAUACUAGAUGAUUAGUCCCAUCAAGCUUUAUAGGACUUACUUGUAAAGAGUGGUUUUCAUUAAUGAAGCCUACCUUCCCUUCAGCUAUUGUUUUUUUCCUGUUAGUCAGGGCUCAAAAAAUAGAAGAACAAACAACUAGCAGUGGCCUUUGGGAACCAAACAAUUACUGUCAGGAAGUAAAAAGGCAAACCAGGGUAGCAACAGGUGCAGGUCAGAGGCACAAGACAUGAGGUAGGUUGCUAGAAAAGGAACGGCCGGGAAACAGUGCCAGAAAACCAGUCCACGGUUCCAUGCAUAGGUGCAUGGGAUAAGAGUGAAGGGCUGUGACGACGCACGGGACCACAUGCUUUCGCCGGAUGGGGCUGGAUUUCUAAUGGCAGGUCGAUCGGCGGCUAGGCUUCCUCCUAAAGCAGGCUGUGUCAAACAUCUCCCUUCUAUAAGCUUAACCCUUAGAAACCAUAAAACUUAGAUCUGUAACCAAAGCCUUGAAAAAACUGGCAAGGCUCCAAUACCAUAUUGGAACAAACAAAUUUGGAGAUAUUUUCUGUAUAUUUUAGUAUGUAUAAUGACUUUACACAUAUUCCUAUCUAUGCACCAAGAUUCUAACUAAUAAGGAAGCUAUUACAAUAGGAAACAUAUACAAACAAGGAAGAAAAUAUAGAAAAGAGAGGAAAGAAUAAUAAUAAUCCCUAUUGUGUAGGGAUUUUAACGUAUUCCAGCAAGUACACACCACCAAGGAGUUAGGCAUCAUCAAAGUUUCAAGUUAUCCAUGAUUGUUUUUCACUGGGUUUGUUUCUGCACCUAUAGAAGUGGUAUUGCUGAGACUUGGCACUGUUCAGUUUAAAUCUUUCUUUGCCGAAGAAACUAUAGUCAAGAUAAGUCAUUGUGGAGUAAGAAAGGACAUUGGGAAAAAAGAAAUAUUUGCUCAAGUUCACAUAUAUCACAACUUUGACAUACAAAGCUAUUAGGUUGAUUAAUUAAGAAACCCUCUUUGUUUUUCUUGUUAAAGUAUCUCCUAUGAUUGAUUCCUUUGCUUCUCUCAGAUGGAUUAGAAUCAAGUUUGAUAUAUAGGAUAGAUCUGAAGCAUGUUGAUGUUAUCUUCAUCCAUUAAAUUAUUAACAUUUUUGCAUUAGAAUUUUGUAAAUUUCUGAGUAAGUUGAUUACUUCUGUAGGCUAGUAUGUUUAUUAUACUUUGUAUAAUGUGACAGUGACAGUGAGGUCUAUCAUUUGUAUGUUUGUGUUUUGUGUUUUCUUUGUUUAUUAAUAUUCUCUUGUUGCAGAUUGAUCACAGACGAGCAUAUAAUUGUGAAAUCAUGCUUUCAAAGGUGAAAGUGCCACUAAAUGAAUUAAUGAGUUCAGUGCUUGCUCUUGAGGAUUCAACGUUAAGUGCAGAUCAGGUUGAGAACCUCAUAAAGUUUUGUCCAACAAAAGAGGAGAUGGAACUACUGAAGGGCUACACCGGAGAAAAGGAAAAGUUAGGAAAAUGUGAACAGUUUUUCUUAGAGUUAAUGCAAGUACCAAGAGUAGAAUCUAAGCUCAGAGUCUUCUCAUUUAAGAUGCAGUUUCAUUCCCAGGUUUCUGACCUUAGAAAGAUCCUGAAUGUGGUGAAUUCUACUGCAGAAGAGAUCAGGAAUUCGGUGAAAUUGAAAAGAAUCAUGCAGACUAUUCUUUCAUUAGGAAAUGCUUUAAACCAGGGAACUGCUAGGGGCUCCGCUAUUGGAUUUAGGUUGGAUAGUCUUCUCAAACUAACUGAGACACGAGCAAGGAAUAACAAGAUGACUCUCCUGCAUUAUCUUUGUAAGGUGCUUGUUGACAAAUUACCGGAACUUCUAGAUUUUUCAAAAGAUCUUGCCAGUUUGGAACCUGCAUCAAAGGUACAACUUAAAUUUUUGGCAGAGGAAAUGCAAGCUGUAAGCAAAGGAUUAGAAAAGGUUGUACAGGAACUUUCAACCUCUGAAAGUGAUGGUCCUAUAUCAGAGAAUUUUCGUAAGCUGCGGCCCCAUUUUGAAACUCUCUUGAAGGUUCAUUGAAGUUUGGACAACUAUCGUAUUGCAGUCAUGUGAGCUGUUCUGGUAAAGAUCCACCUAAUGUUUGUUCUUUUUUUCUCGCCGGCAUCGCCUUUGGAGAGGGUUUGCUUUUUUGUGUUCGUGCCUUUUUGCAGAUGUUUCUGAAUUUGCUGAAUGAGCUGUUGUGAGGGAAUCAUUGGCUUCAACAAGAAUCUUAUCAAGAGGAAGUGUUGGAAUUGAUGAGAUUCCACUUUAAGGGGAGUGUUAUGGAAAGUCAAUAUUUAUAUUUAGUUAUAUUCUUAAUUAGUGUAAGAUUUGUAUUCCCUUUUAGGUAGAAUAUAUAUUCCUAAUUAAGUGGAGUAAUUAUUGGAUAUUUAUAUAUGAAUAUGUAUUGUUCUAUUUUACAGAAUUGAUGAGAAAAAGAUGUAGGCCUUCGAGUUCUUUCUCUUCCCUUCCUUCCCUUCUUCCUUCUACUUCUAAUUCUUAAAUUCUUAACAUACAUAAUAAAGAUGAGAAGCAACAUUAUGUAAAAAUGAGAACUGUUGUUGUUCCAGAAAUGGAAUUUCGUAUUGUUUGCAGAAUGAGAAUUUUCCAGCCAUAACUGCCUCACGAAAGAUUUAAAAGACGUUUUAUGGAUAAAUUGAUUCAAAUGGGAUUAUUUUUUUCUUUUUUGCUGGAUUUUGUGAUAAAAAGUGCAUUGUUUUGACUUCUGCAAACUUGUGGAAAAAUAAGGCUGUACAAUACAAGGAUUUGAGUCUCUGUUUGCAAUGUUUUCUAUGUGCUUAGUGGAAUAUGAAUGGAAUUAGUAGUGUAACCUGGAUGAGCUAUGAUACCUUAAAAAGAAGGAAGAAUGUUAGAAACGUAAAGGGAGAGACUGGUGUAGAGAAAUAAGCAAUUGACAGGGGAAGAAAAGAUCAGGAAGAUAGGAAGGAGGAUAAGAGUGAACUCUUUUACUUGGUCAAAUAAAUACACAUUCAUCUCCAGUUCUUAUAGAGUGAAGCCUACAUAUGGCCUACAGAAAUGGUAAAGAACAACCAUGUUGAUAUAACACUAAUCCAUAUAUAAACUUAUUAGGUCAUUUGUUAUUCCUAAGAACCCUCCUACCAACUUAGGUAAAAUUCUACUACUUAUUUGAUUAUAUUUAUAGCAGAAUUUUGCAGUUAUAUGGUCAGUGAUACGAGGCAUAUCUCAAGAUCAAGCUCCAAUUAUCCCUCUUGUUGCGGGAAACUUGACCGGAACUUUCAAGCUUGGAUUCGAAAUCAAUGAUCAUGAACAAGGACUUUAGAGAAUUUAGAGCCUUAAACAGAUCCUUGUACUCUGGCAUCAUUAUAGCAUUCCAUCUUUUAUUAAUUACUAGCAUAUGCUUUACAAGCUGAUUUAUUCCCCAUAACAAGAAGAUUGCCAUUUUAUUUUUGUGAUAGAUUUGGGAUUGCAAGAACACCGUCUUGAUGGCGAUGAGUAUGUUGCAGUAAUUGAUGAAUUCAUGGAGGCAGUGUUUACUCGUUGGCCACAAGUGAUUGUGCAGUUUGAGGAUUUCCAAAGCAAGUGGGCGUUCAAGCUAUUGCAGCGCUACAGGAAUACCUACAGAAUGUUCAAUGAUGAUGUCCAGGGUACAGCAGGGGUUGCAAUUGCUGGCCUUCUAGGAGCUGUAAGGGCACAAGGCAGGCCAAUGAUUGAUUUUCCCAAACAAAAGAUUGUUGUUGCUGGUGCUGGAAGUGCUGGAAUAGGGGUUCUUAAUGCCGCAAGGAAAACAAUGGCCAGGAUGUUGGGAAAUAAUGAAUCUGCAUUCAAAAGUGCAUUGAGUCAGUUCUGGGUAGUUGAUGCUAAGGGUCUGAUCACAGAGGAACGUGAAAAUAUUGACCCAGAAGCCCUGCCAUUUGCAAGGAAGAUCAAAGAAGCUAAUCGUCAAGGAUUAAGGGAGGGUGCAAGCCUUGCAGAAGUGGUGCGGGAAGUGAAGCCUGAUGUUCUUCUUGGAUUAUCUGCAGUUGGAGGAUUGUUCUCAAAAGAGGUAUUAGAGGCCCUCAAAGGUUCAACUUCAACUAGACCAGCAAUCUUUGCCAUGUCAAACCCUACAAAAAAUGCUGAAUGCACUCCUGAAGAAGCAUUUUCUAUUGUGGGUGACAAUGUUAUAUUUGCAAGUGGAAGUCCUUUCAAAGAUGUGGAUCUUGGAAAUGGUCAUGUUGGCCACUGUAACCAGGGAAACAACAUGUAUCUCUUUCCAGGUAUCGGGCUUGGGACGCUUCUCUCUGGCUCUAGGAUCAUCUCUGAUGGCAUGCUACAGGCUGCAGCUGAAUGCCUAGCUGCAUAUAUGACAGAAGAUGAGGUUCUGCAAGGGAUCAUAUACCCUUCAACAUCUAGGAUACGAGAUAUAACAAAGCAGGUAGCUGCAGCUGUUGUGAAGGAAGCCAUAGAAGAGGAUCUUGCAGAAGGAUAUCGUGAGAUGGAUGCUCGAGAGCUUCGAAAACUUAACGAGGAGGAAAUCCUAGAAUUUGUGAAAAACAACAUGUGGAGUCCAGAGUACCCAACGUUGGUCUAUAAGAAGGAUUGAGCAUAAGUCUCCCAUAACAUUCGUCAUGAUUCUGCUUUGCAAUGCAUUAAUGAGGAUUGCUGUAUGUAUUCAUUCUGUCAAAAGUUGGCAUCAAUAAGUUCGUUUCAAGUUUCUAUAUUUUUUGUCAUUGGCGUAUGUCCGUAGAUCUUAAAUAUGUAUAUUGUAAGUAAAUAUUUCUCAAAUUGCUGCAUUCAACCCUUUCUCCAACUUUGUGAUUCUGUUUCUGGCUGCCUUCAUCCUUCAAAAUUUUGAAGGAUUUGUGUUAGUGUGGGAAGUGGGAUAGUAAAGUGUUCCUAAAAAGUCGAUGGCAUGAGUUUACUUGCUGCUUCAGAGGCCUCAGCUCUGAUAUUCAAAUUUCACGAAAGCUCCGUUAGUUAACAGCUCAUCACAUCAAUGAAUAACCACAAGGUCCACAACCGUUACUGCUGCAAAGGUUGUACCCCAGGAGCCCACCUGCUUGGGCCAAUGAUUUCACCAUCUGGAGCGGGCUGUUUUGUGAGGAUAGGGUACAGUGGUUAAGUUUGAGAUGCUAUUUUUUUUUAAAUCAUAUUCGGAUGAUCAUUGAUGCCAUCAAGGUGGCAAAAGCUGAUGUACAAUGUUCCAUUGCAAAUCAAAAUUAUGUCUGAACAAAACGUCAUGGAGAAACUUUGUAGCCACGGAAUGUGCGGCUAAGUUAUAAUUCCGUCUAUCUGCCCAGAAACUAUAAUUGCCCAGUGGCUUAACAAGAUCUAACGCAUCCAAAAUGAUUCCAUGUAUGGUUACUGGGAAUAUCAAACGCCGCAAGGCAUCAAUGACUAUGGAUGAGUCACCUUCCAGAAGAAUAUCAUUAGGCCUUUGUUCAUGCCAAGUGAGGCGGCUUCGCGGCAGGGUAAGCUUUCCAAGAGCAGCAGAUCAUGAACUGAAGGCCAAAGACAACAUCGCCAAUCAGCCACUCGCCCCAAAAGAUCAAGGCAAACCACCCUUGUCGCACCUUUGCUCCUUUUCCUGUCCACUGCAGUAUCGAAGUUCAAUUUGACAAAAUGCUGUGGAGGGGGAGACCAUGACUGGAUGGAAUUGGACGAAAGUGAUAGGUAUUGGAGUGGAAGACGCCUCAACAAUUUGAAAGUCCUCUUGGUGCUUUAGCUGCAGCUACCAGAACUUCUUCAUGGGACUGAACCUGAUUGUUAAACACCAAGGCGUUCCUGCAUUUCCAAAGAUGUCAGAAUAUAUACGCAACUAAUUGCACAAGAUCAUUACCGUUAGAUUGCGAUGAGAGAGAGGCACUUAAUUCUGACCAACAAUCCAUCGUUAAAGAGUUAGCAAGCAAGGCAGAAGGUCCUGGACCACCUUGAGCUGAGUUCCGUUGGGACUGCUGAAUUUGGUACGCUACCUUAUAACCUGACUUGACCUUAUACCCGACCUUGGUGUUCAAAGUGCCAAACCAGUGAAUCCUCCCUUCGAAACUAGCUACCGGCAUUGGAAAAUUUGCUGAACAUCUUCAUCGAGGAAAUUGGCUCUGAGAGUUUGGAUAUGCCAAAUGUCAGAAGGCCUGUGAAUUAACUGAGAAACCCAAGGUUUAGAUGCUAUUGUCCAACGCAUAAAAACAUUUCGAAUGACGUCUAAGUAAUUUAAAUUGCAUUAAAAAGGUCCUUCAUUUUUUUUUUUAAAUUUACAUCAGUUUUGACAACUUAUCUUACAGUAAACAAAAAUAGAACUGUUUCUCAU
rnacentral:misc_RNA from 1 species